AUUGAACGCUGGCGGCAGGCCUAACACAUGCAAGUCGAACGAGUGGCGGACGGGUGAGUAAUGUCUGGGAAACUCCCCGAUGGAGGGGGAUAACUACUGGAAACGGUAGCUAAUACCGCAUACCAUCGGAUGUGCCCAGAUGGGAUUAGCUAGUAGGUGGGGUAACGGCUCACCAAGGCGACGAUCCGUAGCUGGUUUGAGAGGACGACCAGGCACACUGGGACUGAGACACGGCCCAGAAUCCGACGGGAGGCAGCAGUGGGGAAUUUUGGACAAGGGGGGAAAGCCUGAACCAGCCAUCCCGCGUGUGCGAUGAAGGCCUUAGGGUUGUAAAGCACUGUUGGCAGGAAAGCGGUACCUGAAGAAUAAGCACCGGCUAACUCCGUGCCAGCAGCCGCGGUAAUAC
rnacentral:rRNA from 1 species